GAAAUAUGUAUUUGUCGCAGCAAUUUUUAAAAAUAAAGUUUCCUUUCUGGUUGCAAAGGGAGAUUGGGAGAAAAGAGGAAUGAAGCGCUUGUACAAAGAAAAGAAGAAAGCUUUUUCCUAUAGAAGAUAUCAUACGGAUGCAUUGUAAAAUAUAGCUGAAUCAGCCAACACAUGCAUUAAUGUCAGCACUACUCACAGUAACCCAGAGAACAAGGUGUGGACGCACACACAGACUUCUACAAGUGACUCUGGUCUUGUGGUUCCAUAUGCUUUAACAGUGCGCCUUCUUUGUCUCCUAGUUUCGUUGAUUGCAAGGAGUGUGGCCGGAAGAUGCAUCAGAUUUGCGUUCUGCACUAUGACAUCAUUUGGCCUUCAGGUUUUGUGUGCGACAACUGCUUGAAGAAAACUGGCAGACCUCGAAAAGAAAACAAAUUCAGUGCUAAGAGGCUGCAGACCACAAGACUGGGAAACCACUUGGAAGACCGAGUGAACAAAUUUUUGCGGCGCCAGAAUCACCCUGAAGCCGGGGAGGUUUUUGUCCGAGUGGUGGCC
rnacentral:sRNA from 1 species